GACGAACGCUGGCGGCGUGCUUAACACAUGCAAGUCGAACGAAGAGCGAUGGAAGCUUGCUUCUAUCAAUCUUAGUGGCGAACUGGUGAGUAACGCGUAAUCAACCUGCCCUUCAGAGGGGGACAACAGUUGGAAACGACUGCUAAUACCGCAUACGAUCUAAUCUCGGCAUCGAGGAUAGAUGAAAGGUGGCCUCUACAUGUAAGCUAUCACUGAAGGAGGGGAUUGCGUCUGAUUAGCUAGUUGGAGGGGUAACGGCCCACCAAGGCGAUGAUCAGUAGCCGGUCUGAGAGGAUGAACGGCCACAGUGGGACUGAGACACGGCCCAGACUCCUACGGGAGGCAGCAGUGGGGAAUCUUCCGCAAUGGACGAAAGUCUGACGGAGCAACGCCGCGUGAGUGAGGACGGCCUUCGGGUUGUAAAGCUCUGUUAAUCGGGACGAAAGGCCUUCUUGCGAAUAGUGAGAAGGAUUGACGGUACCGGAAUAGAAAGCCACGGCUAACUACGUG
rnacentral:rRNA from 1 species